UACAGAGACUGCAAGCGUUAUUCGGAUUCACUGGGCGUAAAGGGUGCGCAGGCGGCCAAGUGUGUCAGGUGUGAAAUCCCGAGCUUAACCUCGGAACUGCGCCUGAAACUACUUGGCUAGAGUACUGGAGAGGGUAACGGAAUUCACGGUGUAGCAGUGAAAUGCGUAGAUAUCGUGAGGAACACCAGAGGCGAAGGCGGUUACCUGGACAGUUACUGACGCUCAGGCACGAAGCGUGGGGAGCAAAAGGG
rnacentral:rRNA from 1 species